AGAAGUGACGUGCAUUCACUUCCUCCCAGCGUGUGAUGUAAUCACAGGGGACCCGGUCUGGCUGUUAAAGCGCCCAGCGCUAAACGGGCCCCCUGAAAUCAAUCUCAAUCGGGUGGCCCUAACAGCAUGGGCCAGCCGAUGAACCCCUUAGGCGGCGGCCCCGGUGGUUUGCCACACAGGCCAGGGCCGCAGAAGAUGGAGGCGACCCCUGCGACCGCAGUAUGUAC